AUGAUGUUUAGACCAGCAGAGAAGGCCUUGCUGGCCCUGACGGCCCACCACUGCAAUCAGCCCCAGGAUAUGGCAGGACUACAGUGCCGUCCGAAAGUUUUCACACCCCUUGACUUUUUCCACAUUUUGUCACAAAAACUUAUUGAUUUCAGCGUUUAAUUUUUAAUUAAAAACAUAAUUCCACUUUAACAUUAUGGGGUAUUGUGUGUGUUCCAACAAAAUGUGGAAAAAGUCAAGAGGUGUGAAUACUUUCUGAAGGCACUGUAUAUCGCAAUGAGUGCUCUUAUACCGUUCUAUACGAAGACAAAGCACAUAUUUUGUGAGACAGAGUGAAUCUGUGGUUUGUUCCAAAUAGGACCCUAUUCUUUAUAGUGCACUACUUUAAAUCAGAUUCCUAUGUGCCCCCUGGUUAGAAGUAGUGCACUCAAUAGGGAAUAGGGUGCCAUUUGGGGGACGCAGGCUGUGUGUGUAGUUUUGUUGGUCUAUGCUGAAUGACAAGGAGUAAUGUCUCCUCUGGCUCUGAAGAGCGGUGUGUAUGUUCUCUCUGUCAGUGGUCUGUUUGCUUCCAGUGUGUGUAACCACGUGCCUAUCUCUCCUGUGUCUUCUGUUGUUGACCUUUCAACUCUUUCCCAGAGCUCCUCCUUUCACAAUAAAUGAACCAAAUAUUUGGUGUGACUUCCUUCCUCUUUUCCGCCUGUCUUCUCUCCUCGCUACUUCUGCUUGUGUUCAGCUUGUUCUCUCUCUCUCCUGCUCCCUCCAUAUUUGCUCCUGUGGGAUAUGUUGUUCAGGGGGUGUCUCAGUUCACAAGUCCCUACUUAUUGUAACCCUGUGCCUGUGUUUGCACACCUGCUCCCUGCUCCGCUUCCAUGCUCUCCUCAAGACCCAGCUGUGCCUGCCCCUCCACAUCCUGGAGGAGAGAGGGCUCCCCCUGGUGGCCGGGACGGUACGUGCGCUCCUGGAGCUGGCCCUGCCCAAAUACACAACCUCCCCUGCCACCACCACUAACCCUCUGGCCAUGUAGGGCAGCAGAGUUCCACACUCACUCAUAGAUGGACAGAUACAGGACCCACCCUCUCGCUCUCCGAAUGUACGUUAUAUGGCUUUCCGUCUCGACCACCCCCCACUUCCCCUCAACCCCCUCCCCCUCAACCAUACAGGGUCACCCAGCCUUCCCAGACAGGUCUUCCCCAAUUAAGAGAGAAGAGGGAGCACGAGUACGUCAAAGAAAGGGAUGACUGUCUCUUCCUCUGUGUCCUCACACAGACUGCUUACGACUUGCAGCCUCUAAAGACUGACGGACGAACAGAUGGACAACCGAGAUUGUCCCAGACAAACAGUCAGUUGGACGGCGAGUAAGAGUGUUUUUUUAUUUUCUAUUAUUAGUCAUUUGACUUCUCUCUCCAUCCUCCUCUUAUCUAUGUUCAGUAGGGGUUGUUUUAUUUUCUAUUAUUAUUUCAUCUUAUUUUUCAUAUUCCUUUUACUUUCACAUGUUAGAUCCUUGCAUGUCAGAGGGGUUGGGUGGGUGUAUGGGGAAGGGUUAGGAGACUAGGAAGUUGUCGGUUGCAUAAGUAACCUUUUAAGGUCAUGUGCUACAAAGAGCAACAAUAACGGUGGUGGUCUGUCGUCAUGGGAACAUUGAUGCUGCCAACACUUAAAAUGGCUGUUAUUAAAUGAACCCGUC